GUUUGGUUUCAGAGCCAACUCUUAACCAGAAUCUUCUCCUGGUUCAGCUCCUAGAAUGUGGUUUGGAACAGAACAACCAUCCAUACAUACUUACUACAUGAACAAAUGGAAGAAAGAAGGAGGUCUAGGAAGAAAGGAUGGGAUGUGAGGAGGGGAAGAAAGAAGAGUGAGGAAUGUGGGAGGUGCCUGGAGGGAUGUUGGGGCAGAAGCACAGAGAGGAUCCAGUGGCUGGAUGACCUGGCUACCGCUGACCUCCAGCCCCCACAGAUGCCUGGAUCCCACCCCUAGCCCCAAGCACAGGGACCACCUCACCCCUCAGGCAUUCACAGAACAACACCUUGGACACAAUGAUACUUAUGAGUUGACCAUGGAGAACUAUACAGAUCUUGAACCAGGUCCUGGAAGACAGCAUCUGAAAAGUAUCAUCAGUCACAUGUUACAUACAACGAAGUUGGAGUCCAGUGCAGGCAGGAACCUGCCCAGGGAUUCACGUCUUCUGAGGGCAGAAACAGAAUCUGAAUCAAGAUCUCUCAUAUCCUAGUGCCCG
rnacentral:lncRNA from 1 species